rfam:Oscillatoriales cyanobacterium TSR001 contig_61, whole genome shotgun sequence.
GCCGAUGUAGCUUAGUGGUAGAGUAACCGAUUCGUAAUCGGUCGGUCGCGGGUUCAAAUCCCGCCAUCGGCU